rnacentral:rRNA from 1 species
CCUACGGGAGGCAGCAGUGAGGAAUAUUGGUCAAUGGGCUUACGCCUGAACCAGCCAAGUCGCGUGAGGGAAGACUGCCCUAUGGGUUGUAAACCUCUUUUGUCAGGGAGCAACGCCGCCUACGUGUAGCCGGACUGAGAGUACCUGAAGAACAAGCAUCCGCUAACUCCCUGCCUGCAGCCGCGGUAAUUCGGGGGAUGCGAGCGUGAUUCGGAUGUAUUGGGUUUAAGGGGUGCGUAGGCGGAAUGCAAGUUUAGUGUGAAAAUCGCGGGGCUAAACCUUGCGGCGCUGUUGAAACUGGCGGACUUGAGUGGGCGAGAGGUGUGCGGAAUGCGUGGUGUAGCGGUGAAAUGCAUAGAUAUAACGAAGAACUCCGAUGGCGAAGGCAG